GCCUGAGCCCACCAGAGAAAGUCUGUGUGCAGAGGGAGGGCCUCAGGUCCUGCUGCUCCUUCAUCUUGACCCCUUCACACCCUCCUCUAACAGGGACCUCGACCUCCCUUCUCCACUCUCCUGGAUCCUGCUCAGUGUGGUGCAGGCCUUCUCUGGGGCCCUGGAGUUCCCACUGACCUUCAGCCCCGCCAGUUGCAUCUGCUGUUCCCACUGAAGGCCUCAAAGGGCCCUCCCCAGUCUCCAGCUGUCAGCUUUCCCACCUCCACCUUCUCUCCUCCUUUCGGUUCUGCUUCUGAAUUUCUUCAAAAAUUCUCCUGCAUCAAGACUCUCAUGCUAGUCAGUUCCUGCCUGGGGUCACCAGACUGCUUCGAAGUCAGGAAGAACAUGGUGGGGACGGUGACUUGAGUUUCCUGGACCACAGUGCAGCUGUUCCCUUCUUCCCUCUGUCCUUGCUCAGCACGGUCACAACGACUCUCCAAAUCAUGAUGCUCAAAACGCCACAUCUAAAAAGAACAUCCGGAACAGGAGACGCACAGUUCCAACAGUUAUUGUAUACAUCACUGACCAUAUUAAUGACUCCACAAAAUCAAUCCUGG